rnacentral:misc_RNA from 1 species
AAGAAAGCCUUAGUUGAUGUGCCUGCAAACAAUAGCAUAUCAGCAAGAAGGUUGUCCUAGAAGCAGUGGCAGAACUUGGAUUAUAUUUCUGGUGAGCCAAAUUAAAUACAAAAAUAAGCCACAAGCUAAUAUUUCAUUGUUCAUAUUAUUUUUAUGCCAAAAGAAAUUUUUAUGAGAUAUUAUAUCCAAAAAAUUUUAAAAAUUAGAUCACCAAAAGAUUUGCAAAUUACCAAAUGCAAUAAACUUUUAGAAUUAGAAGACUUUUAAUAGAACUUUUUGAGUGAAAUUACGUAAGAAUUUACCACAAUAUAACAAUAGUAACAUUAUUUUAAUUUAUAUUGCAUAUAUUAAUAUUUGGUUUUCCAUUUUCACUAAAAAUAGUUUUUUUGGGGGGAGUGGAG